rnacentral:tRNA from 1 species
AGCCCUGUGGUGUACAACAUAUUAGAUUGCAAACCUAAAGUCGCAGAUUAAUUCCUGCCCGGGCUU